UUUUUGGUUUAUAUGCAUUAACUUUUAACUCUUGUUUUGGGUCUGGAAAAAAACUCCAAACCAGCAACAAAGAAUAAAACUGACUGUGAUUCAAUUAGUGGCUUGUUUGCCCGGGAUUCUGCAGAGCUGAAUGCAAAAGAAAAACAAUCCUAACAGCAUGUUGGAUGCAAUGAAUUUAACUUAAAAUUACAGAUCUUACUGCUGAGAAUAGAGUUGAAAAGAAAUAUGUGCUGCUUUAAAGCCUAUUAAACCAGUGAGAAGUUAGAAUCUAUCUAUCCAUCUGUCAAUCUUCAGUAACUUAUUCAGGUGGCACAAAAUAGUUUACUUUGUAAGCUAUUUAUUAUGGAUCUCUUCCUGUUAGGUUUUAGAAUAUGAAGGUUGCAAGUAGUGUGUAAGAGUAGCCAAAUGACUGGAUUCUUCUUUUUGAAACUCCCUUUCCUGAGAACAAUGAAUAAGGCCAUUAAAAAACACCACUAAUCAUUAGAAAUUGGGAUUGCUUAGCUUGUGAAAAGCUUGAACUCUGUUUCUAAUACUUCUACAUAACGUAUAUUAAGUUACUAUAAUAAGCACAGAUGACACUUACAAAACCUGGUUUAUAUAAGAACAUCUUAUAGCUCACUGUACAUUUUACACUCUUGUCAAAGCUUCUGAUUUUUUCCCAUUGGGGAAGCUGUUCGCCUAGUGGACAGGUGCGAAAGAAAGCACCUGGGCUCUUCUCGAUUGUGCCUCUGACUGAGAGGUCUCACCUUCUCUGUGACUUUUUAACUUGGGGAUGGAAAUUCUCCCUCCUUGCAAGAUGGUGUAUGUGCAUACACUUAUGGGAUUAAAAUAAUAUGUAUGAAACAUGUAAUUUGGAACAGUCAGCAGAUCUGUCUCAAUUUGAAGUAGCUGUAACAGGGCCUAUAGUACAAAUAGACUAGAACACUAAUAAGUUACCAUGAGUACAACAAUUGCCCAAGAGUUCUUCUAAGUCAGAGUUGAAAUAUCUGGAUUAAUGUUAGCAAAAUGUAUCCCACUUGCUUCCCUAGCAUAGUCCCUGAGGAGUAAGGGGUGACGAGUGUGCCCUAGCUUUGUUCCUGAGGAGCAAAGGGUGAUGAAUGUGCUGGCAGUCCAUGAAGAGGUUUCUGUGAUGGAUCUGAGGAACUGCAAGUCUGUUUACCAACUGUCAGGCCUAUUGAGCAAAACAGCAGCAACUACACUAUAAGGCAGAGUUAGUGUCUCUCUGGGAAGAGUCACCAUUGGUUAUGUGAAGGGAGGUUCUGCUUCUCAAACUUCUUGUAGUUCUUCAAAGAGAUCAGCAAACAUGUAGAUGAGUGAUUUAGUCUACCAAGCAAAAAUAUUUGGGGAAUCUAAGUCUAUGAAGUCUAUUUAAGAAAGCCUAUUAGCCACAGAAUUAGGGGCCAGGCAUUGGUAUGCAGAAGUUACUGACAGAAAGAUGGGUAAACAGAAGUUCUGAUAUGAACUGUGUGUAGAGACUUGGUCCUGAACUGAAGGCUUGCAGCUUAACCUGGUGCUAGUCAUGCUACCACUCUUCUUUAGAGCCAUCAUUACACACCUGCAGUUUCCUAUGGACUAUACAUUCCAGCUAGCUCUCCACACUAUCUUUUUGCUCUAGUACAUUUUUUGGAAAAGGAAAACCAUAGCUGCCUCUCAGCUUCUGCUUCUGAUGUGCUUAGCAGUAGAGAUGAGAGAGAUUCUAGUCUGGAGGUCUAGCAGACAUGGAUUGGCCUUUGGAACUGAGGUAUUACUAUAGGGACUCCUUGGUUUGUGGCAAGUGUGUACAGCUGGCACACACAAUUUCUCUGAUAAAUCUCCCUGGCAGCAUUUCAGGCCAGAACAGCCAGACAGAGAAAGCCUUGGAAUUAUGGAGGUCUACAGAGCAGCUUUGCCUCAAGAUGCUUGCACUUUUCCUGUUUGGACCUGUGUUUAUUCAGUAAGCAUGGAUUUUGAAAUGCAGCAAGAUGAACUGUCAGAGGUAAAAGAAGUGUGUGUGAGAAUAAUGACUACAGUGUUAAGCAGCUCUAUGGGACUGUGGAAAAUAAUGGCAGUCUGUUCAGGAAGAUUGUGUAGGAGAUACACGAUCUUGAAUGCUGAGAGUCUUAAACUGAGGAGUUAUGCUAUCCCAGGAUUUACUUGAUGGUGGUAGAUCUUGCAUGCAGAGGGGUUUCUCUCAGUGACAGGAGUAAGCUAUGGUUAGGGCAAGGUUUGUGGGGAGGAAGUGGGAAAGACUGCUGCAAGAGAAAUUUCAGGACACAACUGAAAAUACAAUCUAGAAACUCAAAAAGUAAACUGGGAACAGUGUUGUCUGCAUUCCAUAUGUACUGUCAGAUAAUACCCUUUGGAAUAUAGCUACAGUUUUAAAUGCUCUUUUAGCUUUGCAGUUUUGGCUUGAGCAGCUAUUUUUUUACAGACUAUUUUGAUGGUAAAGAAUCUUUAUAAUAUUCCUUUUAAGCUUUUGCUGCAAAUUCAUUGCUGUGUAUCCUGUAACAGCCCUGUGAAGGUGUUGUUAAAACUAGAGCUUUUUUGUUGUGUUCAGCUCUGCACUUUACUUACCUCUAGUUCCUGCUGUAGGCAAAGGGAAGAGUGCCUGCAAACUGAACUUCCUCUCAACGUUCAUAGCUUGGUGCUAGCUUCUCUGAGCAUAAGGCUGUACUAGAGCUCUUCUGAAAUCCCUUCCAGCUAAUGUUGUUUUGACUCCAUGGUACUUGAAAUAUCCCAUUCUGGUUUGUGUGGGGGAUGCUUACCUCCACACUGGUAUACGGAGUAGAAUAUCUGAAGGAUAAAGCUGCUCUUUUCAGAGAUGUAUUAAUUGGAGAAUAUCAUUCCCUUAAAGGCUGAUGUUUGUAGUCUGAUUAGGGAGAAGUCAACUGGAGCACAGCAGUUAUUGUAAAGCCAGAGUAGUUCUUUAACCUUCUGUUUAAUGUAGAAGAUUUCUCACUUGACAGACUUGUAGCAAGCAGUAAACAUUUGACACCACUGUCAAGAAACAAAAGAUGGAGACUGGUAGUUCAAUAUGACUGAGAAAAGCAGUCUACCAGAAUAUUCCAAGACUUUCCUGUUUGCAGUUUCUCACUCAGGACAAUAGUUAUUUCCAACCUGUAUCUGUAGGAUGUUAAUGCAUAGUGUUUGCAGUUGAAGUUAAAAUGUAACUGCCGUGUUCCAUGGCUCAGACAAGCUUUUAGUGUGCUUAAAGAGGAUGAGGAACAAAUGAGUCUCAAAUGCAGACAAUCAGGAAGAGAAAAGCUCAGGGCAGAGCUUGUAAUAGUAAAGUGAGACUGAAUGCAUCUUAUGGAAGUUGAUUUGUUGUUCGAGUUUUGAGUUUCUUUCUUCCCACACUGACUUGCUGGCUGUCCUCAUAGACACCAUGGCCCUUUCUGUAGGGGUAAUCUCACAGCACAGUUCACGGGUUAUGGAUGGGAGGCACAGCAAGAAAUCAAGUGUGGAUGUAUUUAGAGAUUCUGGAAGCUAGUAAAUUGUCUGAAGGAAGGAGAGCGUGAUGUGAGGUACACGUCUGCACAACUCUCAGUUGCCAUUGUCUGCCAAAGUAGUUUAAGAUCAUGGGCAGUGUCUCCUUACUCUGGAUGUUGAGAGUUCUUUAAAACCAGGAGGGAAUGUCUCUAUCAAAUAAAAAGUGACACAGUUUGAGGUGAAGUGCUCAGAAGAAUUCUUUCUCAGCGCAAGGGAAGUAUGCUUUCUGAUAUCUCUUGAUUUUGAUGUUCAGAGAAAUCCACUUUUUCUGAAAACAGUUAACUCCAUGAAUAUUAGCAGCUGCUUUCAAUCUGACUAGGGGGUUUUAAAUACCUCAACAACUAUCCCAGUGGUCUUCUCUCAAGUCAUAGUUUGUGUUUGCCUUCAAUAAACUUUUUCUAAAAACAACUAAUGACAAUUGAAAAUCAAGCUAUUAAGAACACUGGGCUGAUUGAAUUUGAUGGAACAAUUUUUUUAAAUAAUCAAACAUUGAUGGUAUACUUUUCUAGCCUCUGUAAAAGAAAUAUGAGAAAUAUUAAACACUUUCAAGUAUUAACUUGCAGUUUUCUUUGCAAACAAUGUUUUACACUAAAAGCCAUCAGUAGCAGUUGAAUAACCAGCUGCCUUGUUAGCAGAUGGCCUUCAGGCUCUGAAGCCUUUCAUAUUCAGCCUACCACUCAUUCUUCACAUCCUACUGAUGCCUUUGUUUUACACUUUUUGCCAACUGAGGAUACAGAUGUAUCUGCCACAGCUCCCUGAGAAUGUGGCAAAGUUAUCUUACAGUUCCUGGAGGCAGCUGUCUUUUGGAUGAGCACUCCUAGAAGGCUUUUAACUCAGAUUAGAAGAAGAAUUUGGUUUUACUGCCUUCCUGGAACAUACAGGCAGCUACAAAGAGGAUGAAGACUUUCCCUUCACGAGGGGCAGUGAGUGCAAGUUGCAUUGGAAGAGUAUUGAAGUCAGAUGCAACAAUGAUUCUUUGGGCUUUUGAUGCGAUUUCUAGUCCUUGAGCAACUAAUUGUCCUGUACCAUUUGUCUGCCAACAUACUUGUGACCAGAGAAAUACAAAAGCAAGCACUUGUCA